AUCGACACUAGAUCAGACGCAGUUUUAC
rnacentral:piRNA from 1 species